rnacentral:rRNA from 1 species
GCGAAGAAGACAGUGGUUGACUGCACAAGAGGCUUGAGCAGGGAGGAGAGAGCCACAGCUAGAAGGAAGAAACGUGAGUCAUUGAUUUCAAGUGGGAGUGAUGGCAGAAGAAGAAGGGCUGGUAGGUACGAGAAAGAACUAGAAAAGAUGGUAAAAAUGCGAAAGGAAAUAAUAGCGCUAAGGGCUGCUGAGGAUGCACGGCUUUUUAACUUAGAUUAGCCCAAUCAAGUUACUUCAAGCACUUCUUUCCAAGAGAAAGAGUUCGGCGACUCAGGCUCUCCUGAUAAAGCACUUCAAGCAAUCCGGGUCACCAAGGAUAUAACUCCAGAUUUGUCCGCCGUUGUUGUCUCUCCCGCUUUGUUUGAUGGAGAUAAGAUGUUAUUUGUAUGCUCAGGCGUAGCUGUACCACCUGGGUCAACUAGAUUAGAGCCAACAAGAUUUCUGACUUCCAGACGUUUGGUUGUGGAAUUUGAGAAAUACAGAAAUCUUGAUGAUAAAUUGAGGAUUGAAGUGUGUCUUCGAGAUAAUAGUCAUAUGGAUGGGUUAUUGGGACUAUAUGAUGCUGAUAUUGCUAUUGUCACGUCCUGUGAUGAUACCCCACCAUAUGGUGUUUGUCCUGUAGACCUGGACCGUCAGGCAUCUCUGCCUUCCGAUGGUCAGAUAAUAGCAGCUGCUCGUGCCUUCGGAUCAGGCCGUUUGAUGGUCACGCCUGGGCUUCUGACUGGAGAUGGUCAUGCAAGCUGGACAAAAAUCACAGAGGCUGCACUUGGAGGGCCACUCGUCGAUCAUGAUGGGAAGUUUCUUGGGGUGAACAUUCACAUUGAUACUGCAGAAAGUUCCUUUUUCCUACCGCUGACAGCCCUUCGUGAACGACUGAAGCAUUUUCAGAUAGUCAAUCCUAAAACUAUGGACUUCCGUGCAUAUUCCUUGCCUGCAGGUGUAUCAAGCAUAAUCCCUUCAGGAUUCUGGAGAAGAAUUAAGUGGCUAGAAUCCGUUGGCUAUCCCAUGCCACCACCCCUUGUGCUUGAAUUCAAUGGGGAAUUGCUGGAGAGGUUUGAGGACGAGUUUGGUGAAUUACUUGCAUGGAAAGUGUAUCCUUACCCCGUUUCAAACCCUGGCUCUACGGAGUAUGUUUGGGCGCUACUUCCAAGAGAUGUUGUUAGAAACAUAUCCCGAAGUGUUGUCAAACUUGCUUCAUUCAAUGGAAGCGUGAGGUAUUUUGCAUGCACGGGCUUGCUUACAAAGUGGCCUGGAACUAAAGGCAUGCGCCCUAUCAUUCUCACUUCGGCCAGUUUGGUUAGAAGUCCUGAUGAUCAUUUCAAGAUUGAUAACAACUUAACGAUCGACGUUUUUCUCCCACCUGGACAACAUGCCAAGGGAACAUUGGUAUUCUACCAUUUAAAUAGUAAUAUUGCUAUCAUCAGUCUUGAGAAGGGUAUGCGUGGCAUUUGUCCGGUUGACAUUUGCCGUGAAGAUGAUUUAUCUAAACCAGUAGUAGCUAUAGCGCGUCAAAUUGAAGAAGGAUUUUUAAUGGCCUCAAAGGGAAAAGUCAUUCUUGACAAGCCUUGUCCCAUUGAUGUCAAAAAGCUUCUGUUGUAUACUUGUAAAAUCAACAAGGCUGGAAUUGGAGCCCCCCUUAUUAACUUUGAUGGAGCUUUUGUUGGCAUGAACCACUAUGAUGGAAGUGAAGAAACACCUUUCAUGCCAAGGCGUAAGAUUGUUCAAAUUCGAAAAGGAGAGAUUAAUUGGCGAAGACAAAGGUUGUCCAUGGGCAUACUGCAUGGUGUUGGAUGUGGGAUAAAUCAUAAAAGGUGGCCGGUGCCCGAGCCGUACUGACACCAUGAAAUACUUGAUCUGGAUAUCUAUGGUCUACCACCGCAUAUUGGAAGACAACUUCAAUAG